ACCUCAUCUUUAGAUUCAAUUUCAGAUUCAAUAGGAUGAGGGUUGGGCCUGAGAAUCUGCAUUUCUAGUAAGUUCCCAGAUGAUGCUGAUCACAUUUUAAGAGACAUCAGUUUGAAAUUGUGUUUCCUAAAUCUCCCUAUUGAUGAGAAUCACUUACAAAUGUAGAGUUGGGUCUCUCUUCUUUUAUCUCUGCUCCAAAGUGGCGUCCUUUGAGUUCCUUGGCUUUUAUCCCUGCUUUGGAGUUGAAGCCAGGUCUAGCAGCCCCAUAGAAGUCAUGUGGACAGAAUGACAGGGAGAAGCUGCGUACACAUCCAAUUUCCUCGGCCUAUCCUCUGGAUAUUUGUAUGCCGUAGAACUAGGGUGGGGUCCAGAAGCCUCCAUUACGUAAAUAUUUCAAGAGAUGCUCAUGAUCAGGCAUUUCUGGGCAUUGCUAGGAAUGUGUCAGUGAAAGAACGGUUUUUCAGACUGCUCUCUUCCACCAUGGAUUGCUCUUCCCAUAUCAUCUCAGACAGAGGCAAAGUCCCCGAAAAGCUGAAUGUUCCUUCUCCUGGGGAGAGAGUGCAAGUUUCUCCAGUCUACUAAAUCUGAAUGUGUAUAUAAUCCUUUUGUAAUGUGGAGGAAUGUAAUUAAGACCCACUCUGUCAGACAGCUGGAUAAAGUUUUUCUCUUUCCUUCCUCUUCUCUCUCUUUUUCCUCCCUCACCCCUCUUUCCUUCCCUCUCCCUUUCACUAUCUUCAGGGACCUUAAGAAAAGUGGCUUUAGCAAUAGUCAAUUUGUCGCCAAACUGUACAUCACCCAAUGUGACAUUAGCCAUGGUAGGGGACAGAAAUUAAUAUCUUUUACCCAGUCAUUGCAAGGUACUUUGUUGAGAUCUUUAUAACAAAAGAUCAAUGAACAGGAUAAAAAUGGACAAAAUUGUUUAAUAUAAGUUUUAUGUGACACGGGAGCCUUCAGAAAUAAAGACCCAAAGAGACAUGAAAAGCUGUAUUUUUGUGAUUGGGUUUGAUGAAGAGUGGACAGUCAUGCAGAAGUAUGAUUGGACAAAAGGGUAUAUGGUCUAACGGUAAUAAACUGAGGGGAACCUAGCAAGGCCUGUUUGUACAGAACCUUCUCUGAUGUCUCUGCCUUCAUUCCUUUCCUCUGCGCAAAGGAAGGAUCCCUGUGAAUGAGGGUCCUAUGACCUAUGUUAGAGGAAAGUCAGAGCAUUCUUUUAUGGCUUGCUUCUGGAGAGAAUAGCAUUCCAUUGGGUACUAUGCUCAUUACUGGGUCAAGA
rnacentral:lncRNA from 10 species